UCUCACAGUCUUCUUACAGACUGGUAGGAUUAUUACGAUUAAAAUAUAACAAUAAAUGUAGAGAGCACUCCAGCACUUACAAAAUCGAUCAUGAUCACUCCAAAUCUAAUUCCAAGAGGGGAAAUGUCAUCGUUUUCUCUGCAAACGCAACUCUCUUCGUUGUUCUGGGGCAGAGAUUUAUGCAUGCUCCACCGACAUGGUUGUGGUAAUUAUAGAAAGGGAAAUUGUUCGAGUAAGGUUUAUGCAAUGUCAAGUAGGAGUAGCAGUGGCAAUUCGGUUUAUAAGAUGAAUCUGAAUGAGUACAUGGUCACUCUUGAUAAACCUCUCGGUAUUCGCUUCGCAUUGUCCCUUGAUGGCAAAAUCUUCGUUCACGCACUCAAAAAAGGGGGAAAUGCUGACAGGUCGAGGAUAAUAAUGGUUGGCGAUACUUUGAAAAAGGCUAGCGAUUCUUCUUCUUCAUCUUCUACUACUGAUUCCCUUAUCCCCAUCAAUGAUUUUGGUGACACAAUGAAGAUUCUGCUGGAGAAAACCACAGGAGGAGGUGGUGGUGGAGGAGCCUUUAGCCUUGUCCUUGAGAGGCCUUUCUCGCCUUUUCCAAUUCAUCAACUGAGUAGUGAUUUUGAUAUUAUUUUUUUCAAUAGAGGACGUGUUCCCACCGCCACUUGGAGCAAAACCAUCCUCUCUUCGGCUUUUCAGGGAAAUGGAAAUUCUGGCUUUGUAACCUUUUCUUCCAAGUUCUUGACUCCCCAUGGAUGGAACAAGCUUUUCAAUCAUCAAAUUGUUCCUUCACAACAACUAAACAUUAAUCUUUCUCCUCCCAUCACCCAAAUUGUUUCUAUUUUUACUGAGAAAGAGCCAGGAGAUGGGGAAUGGUCUCAUGGGAGCUUUCCAUUGGAGGAAUAUAUCAAGGCACUUGAUCGUUCUAAAGGGGAGCUUUACUACAACCAUUCUCUUGGUAUGGGCUACAGUAAGGUUACAGAGCAAAUAUAUGUGGGAUCGUGUAUACAAACACAAGCUGAUGUGGAAAAUUUGUCUAAACUGGGGGUCACUGCUGUGCUCAAUUUCCAGAGUGGUAUUGAAGCAGAAAACUGGGGAAUCAAUUCCAACUUGAUCAAUGAGUCAUGCCAAAAAUUCAAUAUCCUCAUGAUCAACUAUCCUAUAAGGGAUGCUGAUUCCUUUGACAUGCGGAAGAAACUACCAUUUUGUGUUGGUCUUCUAUUACGCUUACUAAAAAAGAAUCAUCGCGUGUUUGUCACUUGCACAACUGGAUUUGAUAGAUCCCCUGCAUGUGUGAUUGCAUAUCUCCACUGGAUGACCGAUACUUCCCUUCAUGCGGCUUAUAAUUUUAUCACUGGACUGCAUCCAUGUAGGCCUGACAGACCAGCGAUUGCUUGGGCAACAUGGGAUCUUAUAGCUAUGGUGGAAAGUGACAGACACGAGGGACCAGCAACACAUGCUCUGACUUUUGUGUGGACCGGACAAGAGGGAGAAGAUGUAUCAUUGGUUGGGGAUUUUACUGGAAAUUGGAAAGAACCAAUGAAGGCAAGUCACAAGGGUGGACCAAGAUAUGAAGUUGAAGUUAGACUUCCACAAGGAAAGUACUACUACAAGUAUAUAAUUAAUGGGCAGUGGCGGCAUUCAACAGCUUCACCCACAGAAAGGGAUGAAAGAGGGAAUCUGAACAAUGUGGCAGUGGUUGGUGAUAUUGCCAGUGUGAGGCCUUCUAUUAAACAGCAAAAGAAGGACAUCAACAUUGUGAAGGUGAUUGAGAGGCCAUUGACAGAAAAUGAGCGCUUUAUGUUGGCAAAGGCGGCACGCUGUGUUGCGUUCUCAGUUUGUCCAAUCAGACUAGCUCCCAAGUAACUGUCUGCAUGAUGCUAUCUUGGACGAAUACUCUUCUCAAGGCCUAAGUCUUCGUAUCGGGUUAUACAAGUUCAAAGAAAUUGUCAUGUCUAUUACUUUAUACAGGGUUCAGUUCACAGGAGUACCGACGUUUGCUGCUAGAGCCUUUUGGAUCAUCGUAGUGAUGUGGGAAACAUACUGCAAGCUAGGGUUUUGUCAAAACUUCUGAAGGUUUAAAUUCUGGUGUGUAGUGUCGUACAGUUUGGCAAUAGUCUGGUUCCAACGUGCUAUGAGCAUUUCUUUGAGGCUUGGUUUAGCGGUGAAUUCAGAACGUAAGCAUCUCCAUAUCCCAAGGACAUUGUUAUAGCCUUUGUGACGAGUAAAUACGUAGGAAAUGCUCAUAGCAUUUCAUUUUACAACCGUUUAAAGUAAUUUUUAAGAUUUACUCUCUUCGUUUCC